GACAGAGGAUGCAAGCGUUAUCCGGAAUGAUUGGGCGUAAAGCGUCUGUAGGUGGCUUUUUAAGUCCGCCGUCAAAUCCCAGGCUCAACCCUGGACAGGCGGUGGAACUACCAAGCUGGAGUACGGUAGGGCAGAGGGAAUUUCCGGUGGAGCGGGUGAAUGCGUAGAGAUCGGAAAGAACACCAACGGCGAAAGCACUCUGCUGGGCCGACACUGACACUGAGAGACGAAAGCUAGGGGAGCGAAUGG
rnacentral:rRNA from 1 species